rnacentral:rRNA from 1 species
GGCUCAGAACGAACGCUGGCGGCGCGUCUUAAGCAUGCAAGUCGAACGGCAAGAGGUAGCAAUACCUCCUAGAGUGGCGGACUGGUGAGUAACACGUGGGUGACAUACCCUUCAGAUGGGGAUAGCUAUUAGAAAUAGUAGAUAAUACCGAAUACGAGCACAGGGGUUAGAGAUCUGUGAGGAAAGGAGCUAAGGCUCCGCUGAAGGAAUGGCCUGCGGCCCAUUAGCUAGUUGGUGAGGUAAGAGCCCACCAAGGCGAUGAUGGGUAUCCGGCCUUAGAGGGUGAACGGACACAUUGGGACUGAGAUACGGCCCAGACUCCUACGGGAGGCAGCAGCUAAGAAUAUUCCGCAAUGGACGAAAGUCUGACGGAGCGACGCCGCGUGGGAUGAAGAAGGCCGGAAGGUUGUAAAAUCCUUUUGAAACUGAAGAAUAAGCGUUGUAGGGAAUGACAGCGUGGUGACAGUAGGUUUUGAAUAAGCAACGGCUAAUUACGUGCCAGCAGCGGC